rnacentral:rRNA from 1 species
CCUACGGGAGGCUGCAGUGGGGAAUAUUGGACAAUGGGGGGAACCCUGAUCCAGCCAUGCCGCGUGUGUGAAGAAGGCCCUCGGGUUGUAAAGCACUUUCAGUGAGGAAGAACGCCUGGUGGUUAAUACCCAUCAGGAAAGACAUCACUCACAGAAGAAGCACCGGCUACACUCCGUGCCAGCAGCCGCGGUAAUACGGAGGGUGCGAGCGUUAAUCGGAAUUACUGGGCGUAAAGCGCGCGUAGGUGGCUUGAUAAGCCGGUUGUGAAAGCCCCGGGCUCAACCUGGGAACGGCAUCCGGAACUGUCAAGCUAGAGUGCAGGCGAGGAAGGUAGAAUUCCCGGUGUAGCGGUGAAAUGCGUAGAGAUCGGGAGGAAUACCAGUGGCGAAGGCGGCCUUCUGGACUGACACUGACACUGAGGUGCGAAAGCGUGGGUAGCAAACAGGAUUAGAUACCCUAGUAGUC